rnacentral:lncRNA from 1 species
GUCAGUAUCUUUUUUCAUGUAGUCGGUCAUGUAAUUACCUUGUAAUUUGUUUGUCUUGGUUUGUUUGUCGUGUGCAGUGCUCAGAGGUCAGCAGUGAGAGUUAGAUCUCUGACAGAAGAACUGGAGGAGACACGUCAAGCAUUUAAAGAGGCCCGGGAGAAAGCCAGUCGGACCCAGAAUAGCUGCUCCAAACUGGUAUGUCAAACUCUCAGCAGUCCCACAGUGAAACUUUCUGCUGCGUUUGGCUUAUUUUAUAUGGCAACUAUUUACAUUUAAGUCUUUUUUUUUUUUUUGGUCUUCAGAGCAAUGAGGUUGAAUGUCUUCAGAGUGAUAUUCAAAGGCUUGAAGACAAGAAUGAAAAACUAAUCUUUGAGAAAACAUGCUCUGAAGAAAGCCUCAACAAACUGAGGAAGGUCAACGCUGAAUUGAGGGUAAGAAGAGAUGAGUGUAAUUGUCUCUACACUGUAAUGAGUUUGUGUUGUUAGUAAAAGCCUGUAUGUUCACAGGCUGGACUUGAGGAAACUCUGAUUAUGUUGACACUGAGAGACAGAGAAAUAUCAAAGGUAAGUACAUUUUUUUUCCUAACGAUGAAAGUUGAAAUUGUCACAUUUUAAAAUUUUUAUUUUAACUGUCUAGAAAGACAUUCUUAUGGAAAAGAUGAAGAAUACUCAUGUGGAGAAUCACAGAAUGAUAGAGGUAUGUUUGAUAGAGCUUAGAGUUGAAGGGAGAAUAUUCGAUACUGUAAAUGCCAUGACAUCAUAUUGAAUGCUAAUCAGAUGUUACUAAAAUCUUUUUCCUCUAUUCCGGUGUUGUAGGGUCUGCAAUCCGAGCUGAUGAGAUUACACGAACAUUCAAACCAAGUUCUUCUGAGGUAUUUUUAAUUAAUUGCUUAUAAAUGUAACAUGGUGCUGACUGUUGAUUUUU